CACGUAGGGCGCGAGCGUUGUCCGGAAUUAUUGGGCGUAAAGAGCGUGUAGGCGGCCUGAAAGGUCAGCUGUGAAAACUCGAGGCUCAACCUCGAGACGUCGGUUGAAACCAUCUGGCUAGAGUCCGGAAGAGGAGAGUGGAAUUCCCGGUGUAGCGGUGAAAUGCGCAGAUAUCGGGAAGAACACCGGUGGCGAAGGCGGGUCUCUGGGCCGAUACUGACGCUGAGGAGCGAAAGCGUGGGGAGCGAACAGG
rnacentral:rRNA from 1 species